GGAGCUGUGGCCUAAUGGAUAAGGCGUCAGACUUCGGAUCUGAAGAUUGUGGGUUCGAGUCCCAUCAGCUUCG
rfam:Conidiobolus coronatus NRRL 28638 unplaced genomic scaffold CONCOscaffold_72, whole genome shotgun sequence.